CUCUUCGGGCUUAGCCGCCGCGCUGCCCGGCUGCUCCGUCCUCUGGACGCCCGCGGCGAUGUUCACCCGCGCCGUGAGCCGACUGAGCAGGAAGCGGCCGCCGUCUGGAUCUCACCACGUAACUCUGGCUGAAUUCUCUGUAUAAACUAGGCUGGCCUUGGACUCAGAGAUGCGCCUGCCUCUGCCCCGCAAACACUGGGACUAAAGGUCUGCACAGCCACACCCUGCUGUUCUUAGCCUCUUCAAAUCUGCUCCUUUCUGACCUCUCGAUGUAAAGAUGAGCAGAAAUCAAAGUUAAACAGUCAUAGAGCCCCGUGAGAAAGGACAGGUUCCCUGGUGCCAGACCACCGGCCACGGACCGAGACUUUCUUUCUUUGCAAGUCUCACAUCUCAGCGUCCUCACCUGGAAAACGGGGACGUAAUAAAUGUCACACGAGAGUGCUUUCAACCCACAGCAAAGUGUGGCCCACAACCUCACACCUGGAGGACAAAUUAUAUCCAUGACGGAGAUGGGAGCUCAAGCAGCGGCCACCAGAGCCUUAAGAGCACAGCCAAGUGGGCAUCCUCCCUGGAGAAUCUUCUGGAAGACCCAGAAGGGGUGCAGAGAUUCAGGGAGUUUCUGAAGAAGGAAUUCAGCGAAGAGAAUGUCUUGUUUUGGCUAGCGUGUGAAGAUUUCAAGAAAACGGAGGACAGGAAGCAGAUGCAGGAAAAGGCCAAGGAGAUCUACAUGACCUUCCUGUCCAAUAAGGCCUCUUCACAAGUCAACGUGGAGGGGCAGUCUCGGCUCACUGAAAAGAUUCUGGAAGAGCCACACCCUCUGAUGUUCCAAAAGCUCCAGGACCAGAUCUUCAAUCUCAUGAAGUAUGACAGCUACAGCCGCUUCUUGAAGUCUGACUUGUUUCUGAAACCCAAGCGAACUGAGGAAGAGGAAGAAGAGCCCCCGGAUGCUCAGACCGCAGCUAAGCGAGCCUCCAGAAUUUACAACACAUAAGCUGAGCCCUUCACCCCAGCGAAGGAGAGGGAUGGACUCUUAGGACUGUACAGGCUGUCAUUUCUUUGUUGUGUUUGAGGACUGGAGUGUGCUAGACCUUCCCUCUGGAUAUGUGUAUUUUAUUAACUGAACAGCAACCUCUGCAUGAUGCUAAUCUUCCAUUAAAAACAAAAGUAGCUUUAAAGUGUCAGUUCACAAAAACACAUGAGAUUCUGCCAAUACUGGACACUCAGCCUUUCAAUCCUGAUUAAAGUGUUCGUGAAGCUACAAGUGAA